ACUUUAGACAUUACCCACUUGAAAUAAGUGAAUAUGCUGUCCGUGAAAGUUAUUCUGUUUUGGCUUUUCCAAAUACAAGAUUUGGGCAAGUACUUAUUUAGAAAAUUAAAUCGUUAAAGUUUCACAAAGAAUGAGUUUUUGUUUCCAAAAAUACAUUUCCUGAUUCCAUUGCUAUAUAUCCUGACCAUUGGUGUGGAAUUUACUAG